rnacentral:rRNA from 1 species
UACAGAGGGCUCAAGCGUUGUUCGGAUUCAUUGGGCGUAAAGGGUGUGUAGGUGGCUCCGUAAGUCGGGUGUGAAAUUUCGGAGCUUAACUCCGAAACUGCAUUCGAUACUGCCGUGCUUGAGGACUGGAGAGGAGACUGGAAUUUACGGUGUAGCGGUGAAAUGCGUAGAUAUCGUAAGGAAGACCAGUGGCGAAGGCGGGUCUCUGGACAGUUCCUGACGCUGAGGCACGAAGGUCAGGGGAGCAAACGGG